CUCUUUCUUUCUUUCCUAUUCUCUUUCUUCACUUUUCACAUCGCUGCCCCCAAGACUUCACUUUUAUGCUAGAAACAAAUACAAACACACACAAGCCUUAUUCUCUCUCAUCAGAACAACCGAUCUCUCUCUUCUCAUUCCUCAUUCUUCAGAUCUAUUCAUCUUCUACUUUUGAUUCUCAAACACCUUGCUUUUUUUUUUAGAUUGGACAUUACGUGUUUGAUUUUAACGAAUCAUACUUCUGUUUGUUAGGUUAUUCAAGGGUCGUCUUUUGCUUUCUAGCUGAGUUCUUCGUCAACUGAAGAUAUGAAGGUUUCUAGGAAUCUUAAUGAAGAUAAGUUUAUGGGUUUCAAUGUUUUGUAGAAAAAUGUGAAAAAAGGUAUGUUAGGGUUCAAGAACGGGAAUGUUAGGGUUUUGAUUUUGUUGGUGUUGAUAAUGAACAGGGGAUAAUUUGUGGGUACUUUUUUUAGAAUAGAAAAUUGGUUUGAUGAUUUGAGUGAUGAUAUAUGAUUUUCUAGGUAUCAUGUUUAUAACACCUACAUCUCUAAAAGUAUGUACUGGUUUUGAAUUGAAGAAUUAAUUGUUGUUACAAAUAAUUUUUUAACUGAGAUUGAUGUUGUACCUAUAAUCAGUGUUCUGUUUUUGUUUUGAACUUACAUUGUUUGUAAUAUAUAUCAUUUGGGUUGAAUAUUUAUUGGAUUUUUUCUAUUAUUUUCAGGUUCAAUCAUUUGGUCCUGGUUUGAACUCAAAUUUGUAUGUGUAUAAGCACUAUGUGAUUUUGAAGUUCUUGAAGAUCUAGAUGUUUUGGAAGUGAAGGAGAAAGAAAAGGUGGUGAGACAUAUGUGGGAUAUGUACAAUCGCAGUCAUAGCAACUUCGUUGGAUUACCUCAAUUUUGGUUAGAAGCUUUUGAAGCAGCUUAUGAGACUUGGUCAGUGAUGCUCCUGUUGUUCGAGAGACUGCAGUUUCAGAAAUUGCCUAGAUGUCACUGGCAUAUGUAGUUUCAUAUGCUGUUAAUUACUGCAGCAGCUACUUCUAAUGUACAAGCAAAGGUUCUAAAUUCGGGGCUUCCUUGAAAUGUGAUGAUUGUCAUGGAACUGAAUAAUGAAAGCGUAGAUGAUGCAUUGACAAUUGAAGAUUGGAAUGUUGUUGAGGCCUACGACAUAACCUCCGGCCAUAUCCCUCUGCCUGCUACCCCAUCUGCUGCCUCGAUAAUUGCUUCCCCCAAAGUCUACCGACGACUCCCUACUGCCGACAACGCCAUCCACCGCCACUAAGAGAUUUACACCUCAAGUUUCUACUAAAGACACACUUUCAACUGACUUUUGUGAAGAACAAGAUUCUUCAACAAAAUUGAGGAAAAUUAUCAAGUUGGAGAAUAGUCCUCAACCAAUGCUUAACCAUUAUUAUUGUACUAUCUAUGUGAUUCACUUUUGUGCUUAACAACCAUGGAUAAUUAUUUUAAGAUGUAUUGCUAAUUUCCUGUCGUAUUUCGGUUUUGCCUAACGGCUUUUUGGAACAACCUCUGCAUAUUU